GCUUAGUGAGGCCUCCGGACUGGCCUGGAAUAGUGGGCAACUACCGUUCCGGGCCGGAAAGUUGUACGAACUUGGUCAUUUAGAGGAAGUAAAAGUCGUAACAAGGUCUCCGUUGGUGAACCAGCGGAGGGAUCAUU
rnacentral:rRNA from 1 species